UUGACUGUCGUCGUUCCGGCGAGACUAGGGCAUGCACAACCACCAUCUUGACCGCCUCUUCUUCCCCUUCACAACCAUGUGUCUUGAUCGUCUUUUCACCAUUGGUUUUGGUGAAAUCGAACCAAAAGCAGUGAGACUCCUUUGGAGAUUUUCCGGUGAUUCCAUGACUUCCGAUGAGCUCUUGGCCUCCUUUUCGGUAAGACUAAGCUUCUAUCUUAAUUCCCAAUCAAUUCCACCUUUUGUUUCGUCGAAUUGAAGUUUAACCCAAUUUCAAUUUUUCUGGGUUGUAACCACUGUCGCAUCACCAUCAUCGAGCUACCUUUCCGGCGAGUUUUGGAACUCCAACGAGCACAGUCUAUCAUCGGAGGUAAACCCACUGUUUCUUUAAAUCCCCAAGCUCGGUUCUUUAUUAAAGUGUUGGAAACAAAUCCCAAAAUUUUCCACCUUUUUCUUCUGUUUUGCAAAUUAUUGAGCUCUUUCGAUUUUUACUUCACCAUUGACGAGAGUCAUUGAUUUCUACAUGUCGGAAUGGGCUUGGAGGUUCAACAGCUGGGAAUUUAGGAUAGUAACAAUGAAGAUGGAGGACUGCAGCAGCUCGGAUUAAGGACAAUGACUUGAGGAGAGUUGAUGCUACGAGAUCAAGCAGUGGAGCAACAACAACAGCUAAUUCUAUUGAUUUGGAUAACUGCUGAGAUUCUACAUGUCAUUCCAGCUAUGAGAGGAGCUUCAGGGACGUGAUCCUACUCGGAGCGAGACUUGGGGCACGGACUUCGGCACUGCUAUAUCAGGUACCUGGCAGACAGUUCGCGAGGACUUCGAUUAGGUGCUAGUGUCGUUGCAUCACUCGUGGUUCACUUUCGAUACCGAUGAGCCAGCUUUCGGUGUGAUUUCUUAUUUACCCGAUCUUCGUUUAUACUUCAACAACUGCACGACACGUACUCUGUUACUUUUCAUUUCAGUUAUGCGGUUAUUUCUUUUGGCCCGUAUAUAUUAUGAUAACGCAUUUUUCUCAUGUCAUACUUGAACUUUAAUUUUAUUUACUACC